AAAGAGAAUAACAAUAGAAAGAAACAAAACGUCUUUAGAUAUUCAAUACAAACAAAAACAUCCAUGCUUAUAUUGUUUCAAGCACCGACAGAAGCAAAAACGCCCCCCUUCAAUUUAUGAAAAGGACGAUUUAUUCACAUUUCAUUUGGUGGUUAUAGACGAAUUAUAAUGAAACAUAAUAUCUCAUAUUCUCAUCGUUGGAAGUUCAACCACCUCGAAAAUUAGCACAUUCGUCUGGAAUAGUUGGGGGAAUCUCUCUACAAUCCACAAGAAGCAAUGUGCUGCCAAAAAAAUUAAAAUAUUAAUAAAUUGCUAAAUCAUAUUCACAUGAAAAUUACAAAUAAAUGAACAAACUAGGAUAGACUAUACAAGAAGAAAAAUAUAAACAGAUAUAUGAUUUAUCUGAGAUGACUUUCUUUGGUCCAACAAGUAGAGGGUGAAAUGAUUCAUUCAGUUCUAGUUGGAAUGAGUUAUUCCAUACUAUCCCCCCCAAUAAAUAAAAUUCAUAAACUUAAGAGGAAUAAGAAUGGUUCAAUCCAUUCCCAUCGCAACUAAACACAAUUUCUUUUCAUUCCAUAGCAAUGAGUAAUUUCAUUCUCACCUUCAUUACUUCAAUCCAAACGUAGUAUUAUAGUGCAAGAUGCAAUCAUGGUAAACUAGUAUCAAGAAUGCAUUUACUAGAAUGUAGGGAAUAUUGUAGGCCAUAUACGCUCACGUGGAACCACAUAUUGACCCAAAAGCUAAACUAUUAGGUCUAUGGUAUAUUAGAGCAUAUAUAUCCUCAAUUUUUCACCUUGAAUUCAGAUGUUAACAUUAGUAUCACGUGUUACCUCAAACAUAGAACACAACGAGCAAAAUCAUGUAAAACUAGUAUUAAAACAGUGCAUGAUGCAAGUGCAAUCAUGGUUAUCUAUUAAUAAAUGCUCAUCCACAAAAGAGAAGCACUUUAUGAAGCCGUGUAACCCAAAAAAAUGAUCAUAUGUGAAGGUGCUACAUCUAGCUGCAGCCAUCACAACUCAAAAUAUGACAAAAGUAAUGAUGAACUACAAUUUUUUAGACUACCAUUCUAAGCAAUCGAUCUCAAGAUCAAAUCUAAAUUCUGAAAUUUGAGAACCGAAAGUAAACGUGUAGUAAAUUAGUAGGUUGAAUAAAUUUUCCUCGAAUAUAAAAGCCAUACAGCUUGCAUGUAAACAGUUAACACUGACGAUGAAAUAUUAAUACCCAACAUAAGCUCGUCCAAUGGCUCAACAAUUAAUCAUCAUUGCAUUCUUCUGAAGGACAUUGAUAACCAUUACAAACCAACAUUGGGCCAAACAAUUAGCCUGUAAAUAUAUCAGAAAAUUCAAUGCAUUUCUUCUUAAAGAAUAUUUUCAUAAUACGGUAACAUCAAUAUUGCAAGCCAAUAACAAAGGUACAGGUUAACUACUAUUUCAGACUCGAGCCAAUCACUUCUAAAUCUCUUUAUCUAUAAACAUCGUAGCUGCCCAAGCAAUUGUAUAUGCACGGACUGAAAUUUAUGAGACAUUAGCACAAUAUCAUUAAACUUUUACACCAAAAGUAUUUAAAGAAUAGCUUUCUACUUUUCUUGCAAAUCUGACAUUUUAUUUGCCAGGUAUAUUAAGAGCUUUAUAAAAGACAUUCAUCAUAGUACCAAAUGCAUCCGUGGAAGAAAAAGAAUUCAAUUUUUUCAAAUACAUUUGUACUUAGAAUUCAGCAUAAUCCUUCCAACAAUGCACUUACUAUCUGCAAACCAUUACUUUAAUAUUUGCUUUCAACACAAACAGCUUGUUUAGUUUGGAGUUUGGACUACUUAUACACAACAAGCCUGGAUGUUAACCCUACAAUCGUGCAUCACCAAAUAUGAAAAAUCAUGAAUUUUCGGGCAAAGAUCGACGAGCAUCGUCUCCGAAAUCACAUGAUUUUAAAGCAUGAUCUGUCCUGUCUUAAAUAAAUAAAUAAAUAAAAAGAACUAUAAAAUAAGCUCAUUCUAAGUAGACUACCAGAACUGGACACAACACAUCCAUCAGGGAUGGCUGCUACUCGAUAGCUUGGCUAACAUAUUAGAACCUUUUUUCAUUUACCACUUAUGAAUAUUCCUAUCACUAUGUAAUCACAUCCAAAGAUGUGUCGAUCUUUCAUCAAUUAUUCAGAGGAUGUGAUAUUCACUAUAGCAUUCUAAUUUUAUAUUUUGGCACAAAAGACAAGAAAAUAAAAUAUUAGCGCCUAUUGAAGGCAGUACCAACAGAAUCAGCAAGCGGCUAACCCACUUAUAGGCCUAUCUAGUGAGUGUGAGCACUCAAUAGUCCAUCAAUGGCUAGACAAGAGUCUGCAAACUAAUCUUACACAAUGGCAGCAUAAACUAAAUUUAGAAACCAGUCCCUCAAAUACAUAGCAUUCUACCUGUUAAUGAGUAGAUGGAACUCUAUUUUGUAUUUUCCUCAAGUUAGCCUUCACACAGUAACAUGCUUAUAUCAGGCUUAAUCUUAAGAACUUCAGGAGAAGAUAUUCACAAUUAUUUAUAAAUGGUUUCUCUCGUUAAUUGAUAUGUGCAACCCCAAGAUGCACAGGACUGAUAUCCUUUAUGAAUUACGGACACCCAGAUUUAAUUGUAGGGUGAAAAUUGUGAAGACGACAAUCAUUCAGUUUUAUCAUAUAAGAGGUGUCUAGUAUGAAACACCAACCUAAGCCCCAUGAUAAAGAGUUUCUAAUUUCAUGGCUAAGUAUCGUUUUACCUUCGCAUGUAAAGAGAAACAACUACCACAAGGUUAUGUUUGUUGCAAGGAUUUCACUUGGGAUAGGACUAUUAAUCUGAAGUGUCUUGUUUGUUUUUAAAUUUGAGCUUGGGACUAUUAAUCCUAGGAUUAUAAAAUAGCUUAAGAUGUGAGAUUAUUUAAUACCAUAUUCUACCUGAUAUUAUAAUCCCUACGAUUUGGUAUUAAAAAUUGUUAGAUAAAAUUAACCUCAACUUUUUUCUAUAAUGACAAUAAUAUCCAGCAAUUUCUGUAAUUAUAAUUGACAACUUAAAAUUUACUAAGACUAAGGUGGUGUUUGUUUGGGUCUUAAAGGCUCUUAAUAGGGAUGCCUCUGAUUCGGUCAGAGGCACAACUUGUUUGAUAAAAAAAAAUUUGCCUCUUAAUCGGUAAGAUUCAAAAAUAAUGCUAAACCAUCCAUAGCCACAUCUGAGCGAAAUUAUUUUUUUUUGGACAAAAAUAACCUCAACAAUAUUAUAAAAUCCCUCUUUUAUCCCCAUCUCUUGUCCCUCUUUGGCCCUCCUGUUUGACAAAAAUGGAGUCUCAAACCUUGAUAAUCUCUCCGAUUCCGAGCUCGUCAUCUUCGGAGAUUACAUAGUGAGGUCCAAACUCGGAGCAAGUCGACUGGGGAUUGACUUUUAUUUUAUUACAUGUAUUUCUUAUGUUCAGUGGUUGAUAGUAAUUUCCUAAUCGAACGCUUGGUUGCGGUUAUAAGCCGAACAACAGAGAGAGAGAGAGAGACGGAGUAGGAGAAGCAGCAGCUCCGUGAAGCCAAAAAUUAUUGCUAAAAAUGAAUUACUCUGCGCUGACAGAAGCAAUGAACUACUCUUUAAUCUCUCAUGCCUCUAUUAGCAUAAGCCCUAAUGUUGGUUUCUCUACUGUAGGCUUCUACGGAAAGGAUUGCGUUUCAGGAUGAUUGGUCCUACGCUAUUCACCUUACCUAAUUUCUUAAAAAAAAAAUCAAUUGCUGAUUUUCUUUAAGUACCCAUGUUGGUAUGAAUUGAAAGCUAAUUUGAUCAUCUAAAUGUUAUUUAUCUUCCUUUAAUUUGCUAAUUUGGAUGUUAUUUUUGCUUAAACUGUUCAAAGGGUUAAAAUGGUAAAAUAUUGUUAUUCAGACAUUUAAAAAAAAUUAAUUAUCAAACAACAAUUUUUUAUUCAAACACAAUUCUGAACAGAUGCUCUAUAUUAUUCAGAUAUCUAAAUUAUUCAGAUUUUAACACUCUGUUUUAUCAAACACCACUUAAAUAUUAUUAUUAUUUUUUUGGGGGGGUNNNNNNNNNNNNNNNNNNNNNNNNNNNNNNNNNNNNNNNNNNNNNNNNNNNNNNNNNNNNNNNNNNNNNNNNNNNNNNNNNNNNNNNNNNNNNNNNNNNNNNNNNNNNNNNNNNNNNNNNNNNNNNNNNNNNNNNNNNNNNNNNNNNNNNNNNNNNNNNNNNNNNNNNNNNNNNNNNNNNNNNNNNNNNNNNNNNNNNNNNNNNNNNNNNNNNNNNNNNNNNNNNNNNNNNNNNNNNNNNNNNNNNNNNNNNNNNNNNNNNNNNNNNNNNNNNNNNNNNNNNNNNNNNNNNNNNNNNNNNNNNNNNNNNNNNNNNNNNNNNNNNNNNNNNNNNNNNNNNNNNNNNNNNNNNNNNAGGGGGUGGAAAGUGGGUGGGGUGGGAGGUGUAUAUAUAAUCAGUAAAUAUAUUUUUUUGAUGUAUAAAUAAGUUUAAAAUGUGUUAUUAUUGGUAAUGGUAUAAUAGUCCAAACGAUAUUUUUUAAUCUAAUACUUUAAUUAAUCGUGAAAAAAACACAUAACAUGAGAUUAUUUUAAGUUAUCCCUUGAAUAAUUCCAUGAAAAACAAACAUGUGAUUAGAACUAUUUAAUCCUAGGAUUAAUAAUUUUAGAAUUAUAAUCCCAUAGAUUUUAAUCCCGAAAUUAUAAUCCUUACAAACAAACAUGGCCUAAAGAGAUUAUCAACUAGCUACAAAGUGACGCUCACACUAAAGCUCGGGGAAACAACAUACCACAAAGAGUAUUGUUUGUAUAUUAUAAGUGGCACAUGCAUAAACAUUUAAUUAAAGAUUUAGCAUGUUCACAGAACUACUCUAUCCAUAGGAAAGCACAAGUCACUGUAAAGUUUGCUUUAAAAUUAAAAUGAGCAAGUACUCGCAAGUAAGUACUUUAGAUUUACUACAUUAUUAAUCAUGGCAAGUGACUUGACACCCAAGAUUAAAAUUGGGAUUGUCUAAACUAUUAUUUCAUGGCCUCUGCUAUUGCCAAGACCAGAUGUUCAUCAAUGAUAUCUACAUGAAUUACCUUAAGGCUACAAAUUGCUAAAUCGUAAAAGCUAUCGCGGGAAAAAAAAUCCAGGAACUUCAAUUUCUUUGAAUUUUAAAAAAUACCUCUAUUUUGUAAACAUGAUUCCUCGAUUACCCUGGUACACUGUGUGACGCCCCCAAAUCCUUGUACUAACUAUAGGUGAUCACUACCCAUCUAAAAAUUUAAAUUCAUCUCAUGAUAACAUAAUAAAAAUAUUAUUAUUACAUUCCCAGUUCUCGAAUCAUAAGUUCAGAACUCGUGGACAUUCACAGACUAAGCUGUCCCAAAAGCAUAGAAUAUGUUACAUCUUGUCUCAAACUAUUAGUAUUACAAUAGCACUAUUAGUAUUACAAUAGCUUACUACAUUAAUAUAAAACGUAAACUAUUACAAUAUUAAAAUUACUCAUUUGGCUUAAGGACACCUUUGUCAUGUUACGAGACCCUUCGGUGUCCUUUGUUUCUGCUCCUCUAAAAACGAGACCUAAUAACCCUAUCUUUCAUUUUCAUCUGGUCAUAAGACACCCUAAAAGCAUAUUCCUCUCUAUCGGCCCUAACCCAUUCAUAUCUCACAUAUCCUUCCAAUACACUUCGUAUAGUCUCUAGUUGUACAAUUUUCCUAUCUCUUCCUAGCAAAGUUGUCUUCAAUUGUUGCAACUCUAGUCUGAGAGAUUGCACCUCAUCGCAUGCUUGCUCAGCUACUUUGUUCCUUACGUCCGGAACAAACUGCUCAUCAUUUUCCACCGCUGGGACAAGACAACCAGCUCUUCCUCAUUUUCUUCUUCCAUUUCUUCUGGAUCCUCAGGAUCCUCUUCUGGGUUUUCUUAAGGAUCACAAACAAGUUCCGCUACUGAAACAUUCUCAUAUACUACAUGUAUAUCCACAAAUCCUUUCUCGAUCGUCAGAUCCUACAAUAGAACAUCAAUAAUACCCACUCAGUAUCAUAACGUAAUAUAUAUAACUGAAAUACAUAGUAAAUACAUAGUAACUUAAUCGCGGAGUGGGUAUUAUUGAUGUUCUGUUGUAGGACAUGACGUGCGAGGAUGGAUUUGUGGAUAAAUGUAGUAUAUGAGGAUGUUCCAGUAGCGGGACUUGUUAGUGAUAUCGAAGAGGACCCAGAGUAAGACUCAAAAGAGGAUACUGAGGAGGAUCCAAAAGAGAUGGAAGAAGUAAACGAAGGAGUUGGUUGUCCUGGAGGUGGGAAAUGAGGAUCCAAAAGAGAUGGAAGAAGUAAACGAGGGAGUUGUGGUUGUCCCGGAGGUGGGAAAUGAUGAGCAGGUUGUUCCGGACGUAGGGAACGAAGUAGCUGAGCAAGCAAAGGUGCAAACUCUCAGACUAGAGGUGCAAUAAUUGAAGGCAAUUUUGCUAGAAAUAGAGAGAAAAAUUGUACAAUUAGAGACUAUACAAAGCUUAUUGGAAGGAAAUGUGCUAGAGCCGAUAGAGAGGAAUAUGCGUUUAGGGUCUCAUGACCGGAUGAAAGAUAGGGUGAUUGGGUACUCGUAUUUAGAGGAGCAGGAAUAAAGGAGGCCGAAUGGUCUCGUAACAGGGCAAAUGUGUCCUUAAGCCAGAGGAGCAAUUUUAAUAUUGUAAUAAUUUACGUUUAAUAUUAAUGUAGUAAGUUAUUGUAAUAGUUUGAACAUGAUGUAUUGUAACAUAUUCUAUGUUUUUGGGACUAUUAGUCUGAGUUGUAAACUUAUGCUUCGCGUCUUGGGAAUGUAAUAAUAUAUAUAUUUUUUUAUUAUGGUAUCAUGAGAUGAAUUUAAAUGUUUAGAUGGGUAGAAAUGUUUAUGUUUAAGAAUAGUGACCAUCAAAUCAGUUGUAACUAUUACAGAGAUUUGGGGGCGUCACAAGUUGAUAUCAUAACAAAGAUGAAGAAUGUGAACGGAUAAAGAGAAGAAUAGCAGAGAAGGUGAUGAGAAGUUUCAAGUUAACAAAGAUGGAAUGAUCCGUUUGAAAUGAGGCUGUGGAUACCUCCAGUGCUGGAGUUAAAAAGAGCAAAUCUUAAGAGAAGCUCAUAGUGCAAGAUAUGCUAUUCAUCCCGGUAAUAUUUUUGGUGGCCAGGUAUGAAGAAAGAGGUUGCGGAAUGGGUUAAUAAAUGUCUUACGUGCCAACAAAUCAAGGCUAUCAGCGACCAAGUGGAUUAUUACAACCUCUAACGAUUCCAAAGUGGAAGUCAGAGCAUAUUAUAAUGAAUUUUGUGGUAGGACUUCUGACAUAGAAAGGGUUUGAUGCAAUAUGGGUGAUCGUGGGCUAACGAAAUAUGCUCCUUUCUUAUCAAUAAAGGUGAGGUUUAGUUUGGAUCAGCUAACACAUUAAAGAGAUUAUUUUUCGUCAUGGUGUUCCGGUGUCAAUUAUGUCAGAUCGGGAUCCACACUUUACAACUAAUUUCUGGAAGAGUGUACAAGAAUAGUUGGGGAAUCAAGUAAAGUUGAGCACUGCUUAUCAUCCUCAAACUGUAGGACGGAGCGAUGGAACAAUGAGCAAUGCUACUAUCACAUAAAACCACUCACAUACAUAUUAGUAUAACCCACAUGACUUGCUCUGCACGUGGGCCAUUCCAAUAUGCAUGCGAGUGUAUGUGAACAAUAUGUGAGCAAUUUUUAUGUGAUAGUAGACUUAUUGUAGAACAAUUUAUACUUUGGAGGACAUGCUCAGAACUGUGUCAUGGAUUUCAAGGGUAACCGAGAUGAUCAUCUACCAUUGGCAGUGCUCGCGUAUAACAACAAUUAUCAUGCUAGCAUUGAAAUGAGCCUUAUGAAGCAUUGUAUGGAAGAAAUUGCAGAACACCAUUGCGUUGGGACAAAGUUGGGGAGUAGCAACUGCUCGGACCAGAAUUAAUGCAACAAAAUGCAGAUAUUGUCAAAGUGAUACGACGAAGACUCAUAGCGGCUCAAGAUUGUCAGAAGAAAUAAGCAGACCAGAAGAGAUAAACUCGAGAAUUCGAGGUCGGCAGCUAUGUAUUCUGGAAAGUAUCUCCAUGAAAAGUAAAGACGAGGUUCGAGAAUAGGAGGAAACUUAGUCCUCGAUUUAUAGGACCAUUCGAAGUAUUUAGAAGGGUAAGUGAGGUAGCUUAUAAAAUAGCUUUACCUCUAUAGCUAAAACACAUACAUAAUGUAUUUCAUGUUUCUGUUUUACAUCCUUAUAAACCGGACUACAAGCAUGUAAUAGAUUAUGAGCCAAGUUAACAAAGACUUAGCCUACGAAGAGAUCCAACUCAAAUUGUAGAUAAGAAAGAGCAAGUCUUAAAAAAUUAAGUAAUACAUUCGGUUAAGGUAAUAUGGAAGAAUCACUCCGUUAAAGAAGCUACGUGGAAACUAAAAGAUAAAAUGAAGAAGAGUUACCCACACUUGUUUAACUAUGCACGGGUGAUUCCAGGGACGAAAUCCUUGUAAUAGGGGGGAGAAUGUAAUAUCUCAAAACCCUAAACACGAAUGUAAAUGUAAAUGCAAAUAUCAAUAAAGAGUAAUUUUAUUUUUUAAUAUAUUUAAUUUAUGUGUUAAACUUAUAACUAAUAUGUAAUUGGAAAGAAAAGAAGAGAAAAUUAAAGAAAAGAAAUAUAGAAGUCAAAAGCCAAAAUAGAAUUUAAAAAAAAAGAAAAUUGGGAGGAUAAAUAUCCCAAGAGGCCUGGCCAUUUGGGACACCACACAUAAGUAUGUUGUAUAUAUGUAGCAUUUUAUUGGCAACAGAUGAGUGGGGAAAU
rnacentral:lncRNA from 1 species